rnacentral:misc_RNA from 1 species
UUAACUUGUUUGAUUGUGAUUAUCACUCAGACUAAUACUACAGAAACCAGAGUUUAUGAUUCCCUUCCCGCAGGGUGACCAUCAGGGAGUUACCCCUUGCUGGCCCGCAUCCACGGGAAGCAACAGAAGUCAUGUUCACAGAAUGGGAUGUAAAAGAUGAGCACCAAGGAGACCAACUGCAAGCCAGCCGAAGCUGUUGGGAGAAGGCAUCCUUGGAGUUUCAUGAUUUAUUAAUGAUCCUUCCGCAGGUUCACCUACGGAAA